rnacentral:lncRNA from 1 species
AGCUCAAUCACUCUAUAUAAUAAGGAUAAGGAUGUUGGUGGUUGAAUUUUUUUACAACUUUACCACCAAUAUCUAUAAAUAGAAGAUCCAGGUUUAUUAUUCAGAUAUGUUUUACAUACAAUUUCGACAUAUAUUCUCAUACAAAUUCCUUGUCUGACUUAAGCAUCGGGAAGCGACGAGGACACACCUUGUUGCCUUUGUUUCAGGUCCUAAAAGGCCCUGUUCGUGUUCUUUAACAGUCCCCUAACUCAGUAUUCAAGCAGCAAGUUCGAGAUCUACCAGGUGCAAUUUCUGGUAGCAUCACCAGCUAUUAUCACCACCUUCUUCCCCAAUUCUUGCUUUUUUUUUCCGACCAACCAUCGAGUUGAUAAAUAAGUAAAAUAAUAGGUUAAAUAUUUCGAGCAUAUUUUGUAUAAUCAAAAGUUCAAUCUAAAAAAUUCGAGAACAGCGUUUAGAUCUAAGUAGAAAAUUGAAGUUAUAGAAUUAAGAAAUGCACCAUGCCUGCCCUUGCCUUUAGAAUGCAUCAGUUUUGGAUCCUAAUUUCAUAUAUGUUAUUUAUGCAAAAAAUGACAAAAUCUCUACUUCGGUUGCACAACUUCAAGAAGACAUAGAACCCCUCUAACGAAAACUCCUCUGUCAACGACGAUGCAAUUCAAUUCUACGCAGAUCCAUAAUCAAAAUCCCAAAUCCAAACUCCUCACCAAAAAUCCCAAUCAAAAAUCAAAAUCAAAAUCUCAAUCAAAAAAUUUCUCAAUACAUCUGCAAUUAACAAUUUGUUUUAAUGUAACAAAUCUUCUUGAACUUUAGCUCUUUCCUUUAAACCACUACGUCGACAAGCCCAUUUGAAAGAAGGAACCAAAAUCGCAUUGCAAAAUGGCUCCCAGAAAACUAUACAAUCUAAGAACCAAAUUUGAUGGCUGGUGGAAAAAAGAAAAAAUAGGGAAAAAAUGUGGUGAUGGUGGCUUGGUCUCGUGGGUUUCUUAUUGAUUUGAUUUUGAGGGAGGGGAAGGUGCUUGGGUGAGUGAGGUCGGGAAUGAAGAAGAUGAAUGGCUGAGGGAAGGUUUCAU